GGUAGUAUAUGGAUUUUAGAAUAUAGUAGUGUAAUAUAUGGUAGUGUAGUAAAUAUUAGAAUAUAAUAAAUUUUCUUAUAUUAUUCAUAACUCUUACUUAUUGAUUCUCAUCUUCGUGUUUGCAUGUGAAAUUUGUCCGGGUCCUCACGGACUCUAUCCUCGCAUUUUCCUUUGGGCCACGAAGGCCCAUAUCCCCUUUUAUCCGUGUCAACCAGAUAUUAAAGUCGACGAACAGGUCCCAGAGUUGAAAGGACAUGCAACAAUUUGGAGAAUUGAAAAUUGGGCCAAUUUUAAUUUCAGAAGAUUGUAUUUUGUUAUUUUUGGGCCUAAGCCCUUGUUAUUUUACUUUUAUCUUAUUAGUAUUUAGGACAGGUGGAAGACGGGCCUAAGGUCCAAAGAAAUCACUUUUAUGUUAGUUUAGGACAGGUGCAGAUAACUCAAAUGGGCCGAAGGCCCAAAACGAAAAUGGGCCCAAAUACUGGUCCAGGCGGACAGAAACCAGAUUUGGGUCCAACCCUCUUUCCCUCUUUACUUUACUGUAUUUGUUUUUGCUUGUUAGUAUUUGUCGUUAAUCUUAGGGUUGAAAAGUUCAAAUCCCCAAAAGACGCUCAUUUCGUUUUUAACAACUUAACUAAAUCGAUCAUCUUUCAAAAGACUUAAAAGAAUAAAUUUU
rnacentral:lncRNA from 1 species